rnacentral:lncRNA from 1 species
GCAAGGUCUUGGCAAGAAAGAGUAUUGGAUUUAUUUCCACUGCAGUGAAUAUGUUGUGGUGACGAGGAGAUUGAGAACGGAAUGUUCCUUAUGAACCUUUCCUCUUCCAGACCAUUGCGCACUAUCUUCUUGUGCUAAGAAAAUGGAAGCCUGAACUACAAAGUUAGGAGGUCUCUGAUGUGAAAACUGUUGUCUAGGCUAAGCUGCAGAGCGUUCCUCUGUAUCUUCUGACAUUGGAGGGAGGUCUUGACGGCUUUUUCAAGAGUGAGAAAGGCUUAAGGCAGGUCAAUCCUUUAUUGCAUAUUUUUGUUAUGGUGAUGGAGGUUUUCCCAGAACUGUUCAAUAAUUCUGCAAGUCAUGGCAAAUCAAAAUACCAUUCUCAGUGCUCUAAGGGGAAACUUGCCGACGAUUUGAUGAUAUCUUCCAAAGGGGAUAUGGAUUCUUGAAUGAAACUAUUGACUUUGUUUCAGAGACUUAAGCACACGUCAGGUCUUAGUAUUAAUCCCCUUAAGACAGAGAUAUAUAUGUAGCUGGUAUUAAGUGGCAGCUAGUGGAUGAUAUACAUCUCUUGGUGGCUUGGCCAAAUGCCAGUUAGAUACCUUGGCCUUCCCCUAAUUUUGGGAAGGUUAAGAGAAGAGUGUAAGCCUUUGGUGGACAAGAUUACUUUUCGAGUGAGUCCCUGGACAAUAAGGCAACUCCGUUGCGCUGAAAGAUUGCAACUCAUUGAGGAAGUAACAGCUUGGUGAAUUUUUGGAGUCAAAUUUUUUUGUUGUCAAAAAAGUUAGCGAUAUUAUGGAAAGCGAGUGUAUUGCCUACCUUUGGAAGGAAAAAUCUGAAAACGCUCGAGGUUCAAAAGUUGCUUGGAUGAUGCAUGUCUCCCUAACUUUAAGGGUGGAUUAGGAUUUGAGGAAACUGGGGCCUUGAAAUCUUGCUUGUCUAUUGAAGAACUUACGGAGAUUCUGUUGCAGGCUGGAUCCAUUUGGGUGGCCUGGCUUAGCUGUUUCUUGAUUAAAGGGCGGUCAACUUGGGCAGUGAAUCCAACUGGCGGGAGCAGCAAUGCUUGGAGAAAGUUUACUUGAAGCAAUGUAAAUUAGUAUAUAAUAUAUAGUUUCAUUUAAAAUUAAUAAUUGAAAAUUUGACGGAGAAAUGCUGUGCGUAAUUGUAAUUUGCACUGCAAAGCAUAGCUUGAGUGGUCACUUUUCUUCUUGUCCCUUAUAAAACUCGACCUCACUUACGACGUGGUUUCAAGAAGACUUUUUGAGAUUUCUAAUUCUCAUGUCUUACAUAUAAUGGAUGAUGAGACUGGAAAAAUGCAAAGUCAAGUUUUUCAAAUUAUGAUAUGGGAAAUCUAUUCUCAACUUUUCACCACCAAUAUAAGAAGAUUACUAGAAACCUACUAGACUAGAUCUUUGCUAGAAAUGCAUCCCCUUUUAAGGCAUGAAUGAUAAUCAUUUUGUUUUUUUGUUCUUGAGAGUAGGUUUUGGAAUAGAAAUCUGUUUAGUGACAUAAUUUCAUUUUUUUAUCUUUAGGACAAAUUUUUAGCCUGGAAAUAAAUUUGGAACAAAUAUGAAAAGUAGAAAAUGGGAACAAAAUAAAAACCUCUUUUUAUCACUCGUCCUCAUCGCCACCCUCCAUCAGCCGUCACCAUCCUCCGCCGGUCGCUUGCCCUCCACCAGCUACUAGUCACCACCUUCCACUCAUCACCCACCUGUCAGCCAGCAAUUGUUGCCCUUCACCGGCCGCCACCAAGAAAUUAAUUUAUAUAAAAAAAGUUUUAAUUCGAAAACAUAAAUUCUGCGUCAUUAUCAAAUGUAUAUCUUUACUCAGAAACUCAUCUAAACAAAAAAUUAUUUCCGAGAACAAAAUGAUUAUGAUUUGUGCCAUUAGUAAACUCGAAUUUAAUCGGAACAAAUCAGAACGCAGUCGAAUCUGAAUGGGUUUCAUAGGUAAGUUGAAAGACAAAAAGGUCAACGUCCCCGAGAAAUGUCAGUGGGAGGCAAUUUUCGCUGAGCAAACCUAAAAUGCAGUCAUUCACUUCGUCUCAGUUGCUCUCAGCUCACCUGUGACAUGGCUGUUGGACGAUGACCACAUACGUCUCACGUUCCACGUUGCGCCCGAUGGACAGUGCUUUUUCUUCUUCUUUUCCUUUGUUUUCUUACUUUUCUUUUCUUUUUCUUUUGUUUUUACUUGCUUUUUUACGAAUCCUUUAUAGAGGAUCAACAUCCAAUAGAUCAUCAUGGUAAUCUAGAGGAGAGUUUCCAUAUCAAAAGGUGGAAAACACAUUGCAUUGAAACGGUCGUUCGCCCCUCUUCUCCAUUCCCAUCAAGAUCUACUUCGUACACCACUGAAAAUUAGUCCACAAAAUGAUAAGAAAUUGCAUGGCGAAGAUUUCGCAAAGAUAAAAUCGACAUUAAAACCGGAAAAAGGAGCCAAAUGCUAAUGUUCCCACAAAUAUGAGAGCUCACCAUUAGGGAUGGGCAUGGGGGCGAGUCCAAUGCGGCGAACUAGGGACCUGUGCCAUCCCUGUCCCCUUCCCCACGGGGGGCAGGGCGGUUCGCCGGCGGUUCACGAGCGGAAAGGGCGGCAGAGAGUAAGAUAGAGAGAGACGGUGUAUUAACACAGUGCCAAAAAUGUUGCUUUAAUUCCCACUAGUAUCCGUGCAUUUAAACAGAGCGGGAGGUACACUCAAGUCAACGCUCAGCGAGCCAAACCAACAUUGUCCUUAACAUUUUUCGUAGCGAGCCAAACCAACAAGCACCGACGCCCAUUUCACCUAAAUUUAUAAAUUCGUUCAUCUCAAUAAGAACUUACUAGAAAUGUGAACCCGCUUAGAACAACAACAGAUGAUAACUUUUGUCCCAAAAGAUAAUGUAAGUGAAAGAAAGUUAGUAGAGCUGACAAGUGCCACAAUAGAUGGAGUAUGAAUAACGACAUGCACUUUGAGAUCGAUUUACAAUUGGUUUUGAAUUAUGAAGGUUUGACGAAUCGCGUAGACGUGAAAGGAAUGAGAAGAGAUAAGGUCAAUAGUGGGGAUUUUAAGGACAAUGUUGGUUUGGCUCGCCCAGAGCUUAAUGGAUAAUUAGCGAGGUACACUCAAGUCAACGCUCUAAAGUCAAACCUGAAAUUGAAUGCACCGCAAAAAACUAAAGGGCCAUUUGAGGAACUAAAGAAUGGACUAAUCAGCAUGAGUUUGAAGAGUAGCUUGGUCAACUUCGACAAACUCAGCGACCCAGGCCUUUGAGGAUGUCCUCGAUGGUGCCAUCGUCGGUCUUGGCAAACUCGACGUGCUUCUUGCAGUACUCGAUCAGCAUUGAAGUACGAUCGCAAUCUGAGGAACCAUGCUCACCACUGCGAAUGCACACCAAUGGGAGAGGCAAGGACACAAAUGCAGUCGAUGAGGAAGAUCACCCUUGGAAGCUCCGACGGUGAUCCAUUCGAGGUAAGUGAGGAUGGGGCCGACGAGUCACAGACGAUCAAGCACAUAUACUCACCCUCUUUAUUCACAAUUGUGGCUGAUGUUUUAUCCCAUAUACUCAACAAUGCUCUGUAGGUGGGUUAGUGUCACGCAAUUAAGCUAAAAAAGGAGUGCCCUGAGCCCACCUUCUCUUUAAAUAUGACUCCCUAUUGUUACUUGUUGCUAACCCUGUUUGAACUGCAGACGUUUGAAAAAGAUUCUUGGCUGUAUUGUAUGGCUCAAGGCAGAGGAUUAUGUUGCAAAAAUCCAGUAUAUGCUUCAGUCCUAGCACGGGUGCUAUAUGGGUCCUGAAAAGAACAGUCCAGGGAAUCAAUAUUAUUCAGAACCCUGGUAACUAUUUGGGUCUACCUAUUCUAUGAGGUAGAUCUAAACGUGAAGCUCUUGGCUUUGUGGAGGAAAAAGUCUUGAAAAGAAUGCCGAGCUGGAAAACUAAAUUGGUCUCACAAGCUAGUAGGGAGAUUAUGGUAAAAACAGUGGCUUAUGCAGUACCAACUUAUUCCGUUGUCUUAUUUCAAGUUUCCAAAGAAGUGGCUUGAGGUCGUUGAUGCAGCUAUAGCCAAUUUUUGGUGGGGGUAAGCAGAAUAAUGAAGGGAAAGUGCAUUGGGAGAAUAGGGAAAGCUUAACUGAAGCAAAAUUAGAAUGAGGCUUGGGUUUUAGAAAAUUUUCACAGUUUAACAUAACCCUCCUUGCUAAGCUUGCUCGGAGAAUCCAAAGCAACCCCUCAGAAUUCUGGGUGCAAAUAUUUCAAGCGCUCUACUUUCCCCUUUGUAGCUUCAUGGAAGUCAAAAGAGGUGGCAGAAUGUCUUGGGGAUGGAGUAUAGUUUUGGAGGGAGAGGUCUGAUUAAGGAAGGUGGGUUAUGGUAAAUUGCUGAUGGGAAGUCGGUCAAAGUUGGGGAGGAUAGGUUGGUGAAGGAGAGUUGAGACUUGAUGCUUAUCCUCUAAUCCGACUCAGGUGAAAAAGUAAUUAAGAAUGGAGUCUCUAACUGGUGCAGAUACUAGGACUUGGAACUUGACCCCCAUUAAAGACAUCAUACGGCAGGAGGAGCAGUGAUCGGUGUUGAGAAAUCUCAUAAGGUGGAGAAGUUCCGAUGACCAACGAUUUGGCCCCGGAACAGGAGUGGUGGUUCUCCAGUAAAGUCUCUACCACUUUACUAUGCAGAAAAGAAAGAAACAUCCAAGCCUAGACCUCAAACUCUCAUACUAUUGAUGGUAUAGUUUGGAAAUUAGCACGGGUGUUGACUCUCCUCCCACGAUAAGACACUUCCAUUGGCAACUUUGCUUGAAUGUUAUGUCUGCUGCUGCUAAUCCGUGCAAAAGAAAAGAAUAAAGUUUCUCUUGCUUGUGUUCUGUUUUGAGAUUAUAUCUGUUGAGCAUUUAUACUCAAUUGCUUAAAGUUGAAAAUCCAAAAAACGAAAUGAUUCAGAUAGCCAAAGGACUCAUCAUUUGUUUAAAUUUGGAAAAAAGAAGAAGAAGAAAAGAACAGAAAGAAAAUCAAACUUUUACAUGAAAAGUCAGUGCAACUCAGCAGCAAAAUUGUGUUGCUAUGCAAAGUUGUCUCCAACUAAAAUUUAGAGAAAGAUAAAUAUUUCUCACAAAAGAGUGGAUGGUAAGCAAGAUGGAAACUUUCUAGAGUUUCACCUCCAAGAGUGAUAAUCCGAUCAAUGACACCUCUCCUUCAUGGAUGGGCUUGUUUUCUAAUUUGAAGUGCUCGUUUUGCAUGCCAAUAGAUUUCAUUGAGCCAUAAAACAGCCCAAAGCUCAUUACCAAUUUCAUACAUAUCUUCGUUUGGUGAUAUCUAAUGUUAGUAACUCUCAAUGUUCAUCGUAAUUUCCCUAGACUUUGCUAUACCCAUCAAUUUACGUUCAUUAACUUGGUGGUGAGAAUAUGUAAGAUUUUGUGUCAUGGACAUAUUACAUCCGUUGUGAGUGUAAGAUAGGCUAUGGUACCAUUGAAUUAGUUUGUGCUAGUUGACACACAAGUUUUCGCUCGAGUCUUCUCGUUCAAUUAAGAAAAUUUGAGAUCAAAUUCGAUGGAGUUUGACCCCCGAAGCAAAAAUAUUGAUAUUGCAUAGUCUUGCCUUUGCAAUUCCCAACUCCAUUUCUUCACAUUUAAAUAUUAAAGACAUUUAAAUUUUGGGUAUAAAGUGCUCACGUCAAAAAAAACAUGGAUCAAAGAGUUUCUUUGGGAUUGGCUCGAUGGAUGGUCUAAUAUGCAAAAAAUGAGUCCCGAAAUCCCUUGAGGUUCCAGAAUCAAGCCCGCGCGAGACCGGCCUUAAGCGAAUCAAACUAGGCCUAAUGAAUGGAAAGGAAGCGCGGCCAUCUAAGGACAAUAAGGGAAACUCAAAUCGGCCAACACCCAUUUUCGAAGCCCACGCAUGGUUGGAAGGUCUUAUUCAGCUGCACACGUCGAAAUUGGAAGAAAAGGCAAAGGAGAAUCAACGAAGGAAAGGGGCGUGCAGUUUCCACCUUGACAAAGGGAGCAAUCUCGGCAUUCAGGGACCCAAAUUCAUCGCCAAAAGAAAGCAAGAAAAUCUGAGCACAAGAAAGCAGGGGAUUCUCCGCCAAGAGGGACGGGGGAUUUUUCAGCAUUUAAUCAUUGCCAAAGAGAGCCCGAAAAAGAAAAAAAGGAAAAGGAAAAGGAUGAAGCUUUUUCAUCACGGCCGAGAAAGAGAAACGCAGAGAGGGUUUCGGUCAACAAAAGAGAGAAGACUAAAAGAAAAAAGGAACAGAGAAGUGGUCGGCAAAAGAAGAGAAAAAGAGAAACAUAGGAGGCAGAUUCUCGUGGAGGAGGUGGAAAGAAAAAAGAGGACACAGAGAGAGAGCUGUUGGGGCACGCGUGAGGAAGCAACAGAGAGCGAAAGAUGCAAUUUCCCGUUUAAUUUCCACGAAGUUCACCUUUCCUCGACACUUUAAUUUCAGAGAAAUUUACUCCUCGCAGUCAAAUUUCUCCAUCAUUUCAUUUAAAGUCUGGCGCACCUUGCACUUGGGAAAAGCCAAAAAUGAAAUCAUUUUAGCACUGUUUUGAAGUUGACCGAUUUUUGUUCAAGUUAGAAUUAAAGUGUGAAAACCCAUUUUAUCUAGAGAAGGGGUGUGUAAAAGUGACCAGUUUGGGAACUUUGUAAGAGUCACCGUUGUCAAGAGCCACCCUCUUCAAAGGAAACUCAUUUUAUGAAGAGUACUCGCGCGUUCCAUGGACAAAGUUCACUUGGCAUCUAACUGUCAUUUCCAGGGACAAGCAUUUCCUAAACAAUUUUGUAACCACGUGAAACUGUUUAUCCAACUCUUCUUUGUAACAUUCAACCAUCAAAUCCAAAUACCUUCAGAAGAGGAAGACCGUGUUUUCUCUCUUCCACGCCUACAACAACCAAAGAUAUUUACAAUCAAUUUUUCUUGCCAUGAACCAAAUUAAAAUGCCAGCUUUGAAUUCCCCUCUCCUCGUUUUAGAUUGCCAAUCUUGGUUAUGCUAAUUAUAUUUUAAGCGACAAAUACUUCCACAUAUCAAUUUCAACUCCUUUAAAACCUUUGAUGAGAGACUAGCGUUAGGAUUACAUGUAUUGCAUAUUCGUGUGUUCACAUUCGUGGAUAGUGACAUGUAUUUACUCAUUUUUUUCAAUUUAAAAGAAAAAAAAAACUAUAACUACAAAACAAUAACAUAACAACGUAUUUACUAGAUCAAUAUGAAUUAUUUACAAUCGAUAGACAAAUCGAAGAGUUUGAUGUCUAUCGAAUUUACAUGGCGUUGCUGAACAUCUAGAUUUCUUUAAAUACCUAAAAGAAGCUAUGCAAACCCAUACCGAGUCUCAUUGUAAAACACAAGUUUUAAUACAAUUAUUAUAUUGAGAUUGGUUCUCUCUGUCGCAUAAAUAGAUUUUAUACAAUAUCAAUCCAAAAAUUCGCCAGCUAAGCAAAGCAAAGAUGAUGGAAGACUUUGACUUUAUGUCCCUUGCCAGUCUUUUUCUUUUGACUUUUUCAUUCAAGUAACUUUUGUCGGCCUUUGCCUUACCUCUUUCUUUGGUUGGGAGAAAAGAAUAGGAAAAUUCAAGGAAGCAAGCAAAGAUGGUAGAAGACUUUGAUUUGUUUUCCCUCACCUUACGCUGGGAAGUAGAUUAUCUAACAACCAUGAUUUGAGAGGUGCGUGCGUCCUAGGCAAUUAACCAUUAGGAUUAAUUUAAAUAUGAGUACUCAUCGCCUCCUCUCCCGACCUAUGCGAUAAGUAACUUUAAAUUAGAAAAGGUAAUUUUCUGCCUGUCUAUUGUUAGUAAAUCUCAAUGUUGAUAGUCAUUGUUCAUUCAACAAAAUAAGCUUAACCAUUUACGUAACUAGUACUUUAUAAGCCAACUUUUAACAUAGAAAAAGGUAACACAACUUCAUAUGGUUAGUAAAUGGUUAGUAACUCAUUAAUUUGACUUGUAAUAUAUAUAUACAUGAUUAGUUUUUCUUAUAUACAUUGAAGUAACUUUCCCUACAUCUGUGUGUCAGUAACUUUUCACAAGAUUGCAUUGAAAUUUUUGGAGAUGCAAGUGACAUCCGGGCUAGAGUUUAUGACUUUGCACUAAAUUUUGUUUUGAUCCAUUCAUGAUAAAAAAAAAAAACAUCAAUAAUACUUAGAUCAUUAAUUUACUACACUCCAUCCAAUCAUUUUAGUAUAUGUACAUUCAAGCAAACGGAAAUUUAUUUUCCACCUUUUAAAUGGAAACAAGUAAAGUUAUUGUCAAGAUUUAUAUUUAAUGAAACUGCUGGUCCUUGAAAUUUUAUUUGAAUGUGUCCAUGUCAUAUCUAAUUCAACAAUCGAUUCAAUUACAUCCUUAAAUAUUUGUCUAAUGUGCGCCAUGAUCUUAUCUCUUAAUUGAUUAUGUUCCUGACCUUUUUGAAUAUGUUCAACAUUGUCUCAUUUUAGUAAUUAGAAGGACAAAUCCGUACAAUGUCACUUUCUAGUCUUUUGCUCGUCAAGAACAAAUGGUUUGUUCUUUACUUUCUACAAGCUUUAGCUACUAAUGUUGAUCCGGCUCCUAACACUUCCAACAUGUGAGAAUCACAGUUAAACAUUAUUUAGUAGGAUGCAUUUUUAGUUCCGAGGAUGAAGCUUCGGAAAGCUACCUAGAGGAACAGUAUAUUGGCCCAUACACUUCUAUGCUUUCAUUUAACUUAUUUUUCUGUAAACUAAGGCAAUAAAGUAAUUAUACAAAAUUAGUAUGAUUAGUAACUCAUUUUAUAUUAAAAAAAUGCAUCUACCUAUUAGUAACUAGUAAUCUGGACGCGUAAGUUUCGAGAGUGGGUUGCGACUCCCACGCCCUCAGGGCACAAGUCUGCGAGUGAGUGUAGAGUAGGCAUAGAGUAGGACUGACAAAAAAAAAAAACUUAUUUUUCUGUAUAAAAAAGCAAUAAAGUGAUUAUACAAAAUUAAUAUGAUUAGUAACUCAAUUUAUAUAUAACAAAAAUUUCCAUCUACCUAUUAGUAACUAGUAAUUUUUCUAUGCAAUAAAUAAUUAUGGAAUAAAAAAAGGUAAUUUUCUGCCGAGUGUUAGUAAGUCAUACUAUUCAUAGUAAUUUUUCUAGACUUUGCUAUACACAUCAACUCAUGUUUGUUAUCUUAUUGGACUACAUAAGAUUUUAAAUAGUGGAUAUAUUACACUUGGUGUGAGUGUUAUGCCACUGUUAAACUAGAUUGUACCAAUUGACACCUAAAUUUUCAUUAGAAGACUUCCAUUCAUUUGAUAAGAAAAUUGGAGAUUGAAUUCAACAAAGUUUGACCCCUAAACAAAAAUGUCAAUCUUGCAUGGUCAUGCAUUCGUAAUUCUCACUUCGUUUCUUCGCAUUUAGAUAUCGGGGACAUUUUAAUUUUGGGCAUGAAGUAUUCACAUCGAGCAAAGCAUGGUUCCAUCUGUGAGUUUUCUUGGAAGUGGCCCAAUAGAUGGCUCCAUAUGCAAAAAUGAGUCCUAAACUCACUUGAGGUGCCAAAACCGAGUCCGCGUGAGUCCAGUGACUCCAGCCCCCAAGCUGUAAUCGAACUCAGCCGAAUGGAGGGAUUGGAAGCGUGGCCAUUCAAGGGCAACAAGGGAAAUUUUAAUCGGCCAAUACCCAUUUUCGUGGCCAAUUCCAGUCUGAACUUAUAAGAUGGAAGGUCUUGUUCAGUUGCUGUACGCGUCCAAAUGGAAGAAAAGGCAAAGGAGAAUCAAAAGGAGGAAAAGGGGCGUGUAAUUUCCAUCUUGACAAAGGGAGCAAUCUCGGCAUUCACGGACUGGAAUUCACGGCCAAAAAAACAAAAAAUCUGGGCAUAGAAAAGCAGAGGAUUCUCGGCCAAGUGGGGCAGCGAUUUUUCAGCGUUUAAUCAUUUCCAAAGAUAUCUUGAAAAGGAAAAGGAAAAGGGUGGAGCUUUUUCUGCACGGCCAAGAAAGAGAAACACAGAGAGGAGAAAAUAUUCAGUGGAAUGUUUCUCCAAGGGGAGGGUUUCGGUUAAGUAGAGAGAGAAGACUAGAAGGAAAAAAAGAACAGAGAAGUGGUCAGCAAAAGAAAAGAAAAAUAAGAACAGAGCAAAAGACGCAGUUUCCGUUUAAUUUCCUCGAAGUUCACUUAUCCUCUGCACUUUAAUUUCCGAGAAUUUUACUCCUCGCAGUUAAAUUUCUCCAUCAUUUCAUUUUAAAGCCCAUCGCACCUUGCACCUGGAAAAAGCCAAAAACAAAAUCAUGUUUAGCACUGUUUUGGAGUUGACAGACUUUUGUUCAAGUUGAAAGUGAAGUGUGAAAACCCAUUUUAUUUAAAGAAGAGGCGUGUAAAGGUGACCGCGUUGGGAACUUUGCAAGAGUCACCGUUGUCAAGAGCCACCCUCUUUAAAGGAAACUUAUUUUGUGAAGAAUACUCGCACAUUUGAUGGACAAGGAUCACUCUGCAUCAAACUGUCAUUUCCAAAAUACUUGACAAGAAUUUCCUGAACAAUUAAGUGACCGCAUACUCUUCUUCAUAACAUUCAAUCAUCAAAUCCAAGUACCUAGUAUUACUGUGGAAGAGGAAGAUAUUUACAAUUAAUUUCUCUUGCUGUGAACCACAAUUAAAUUCCAGCUCCGAAUUUCCCCCUCCUAAUUCUAAAAACAAGAUAUGUUUGACAUCAAAUCAAACUCUUAAAAGUUGAAAAAGAGGAAAAGCCUGAAGUCAAUGUAAAGAAACAUCCAUUUAUCUGAUAGGAUUAUGAGCCGAAAACCUCCUUUCAAAUUGAUGCCUAAUAACUGUUUUAUGUCCUUUGGACCAUGAAUAUCUAACAGUAAUAUUGGAUUAAAAACAUUAAUUCAUAAAACAAUGUUGCAACUUGUUAGAUAUAUUUGUAAUGGACUCAUCUGCAAAUUACCUAAUCAUUCACACAUGCAUUGGAUUACAUGUAUGUUGUAUAUGGUCCAAUUUUGUCUAGAAUCAUGAAAUUGUGUAUCUAUUCUACUCUAUAUUAGUUUAGGUUCUAUAUAAAUGAUUGCAACUACUUGUGUAGUGCAUUCUGAUGAUGUACAAAGACCUUCGGUUUAUCAGUCUCUCACCAACAUAACCAUUCAAUCGAAACUCGCCACCAUCCACUUAGACAGUCUCCGCCAUGACCCAUUUUCAAAGACUUUGAAUCCUAAAAUCACGUUGUUGAAUCAACCUCAACUACAACUCAACUCCAAUAUGGACGAAAAGCUCACAUGUCGGGACGACACAACUCAAUCCAAAUCUUUGCCUUCGUAGCUUGCCACCCUUUGGUGCUUAUUUCUCAAUGAACCACCCAUCAGACAAGUGACCCUCCUCCAAGUUGAACACUAGAAACCAGUUUUGCUGGAAUUGAUCCCACAGCCAAAUGUCUUGUACCAAAGUCGUUCUUCGGUUUUAUUAAAAGGGGCUAGUAUUUUGCAUCAACUCCACACAGAUGAUAUCUCAUGCAAAGAGGAAUCGAACUCCUUUGAUUUAAACAACACUAUACAAUUCCGGGCUAAGUUGGAUUUUUUGAUUUAAACAACACUAUACAAUUCCGGGCUAAGUUGGAUUUUAAUCAAUAACAAAGCCCAAAAGUUACGAGAUCAGUCUCAAACUAUGUCGGAAUUCAAUCGAGAACAUAAAUUGAGGAUACUGAGAUACAAUGUCAGAAUUCAAUCGAUGAUGAAGCAAGAUAAAGAUACACAUUGGAAUCUAAUCGACAACGCGAAUUCGAGAGUUAUAUAGCUAAGGAAAUUUAAAAUACAAUGUAGGAAAAGUAAAGAUAACUAAGAGAUAACAUUUUGUUUUACUUGUAUGAGGAGUCUUCUUGUUGGAUAGCUAGUGGUAUUUAUAUUGAAAGUGUAGUAACUUCUCCUCGACUAUGCUUAGUGGCUGUAUUUCUAAUGUAAAUAUCUAAAAACUUGUGAUCGGCAUAAGUAGAGCAACUAGGGGAGUAGAUGGAUUUUAUGAAUAAGGACAAAGAUAAAAAUUUGGUAAACUUUAUUACAUGGCCAAUCUUGGCUAUGUUGAUAUAUAUUUAAAGCAACAGAUAGCUUUCACAUAUCAACUUCGACUUUCUUCAAACCCUUGAUGAGAGACUAUUGUUAACAUUACAUGUAUUGCGUAUUCGCACACACACAUUCAUGAAAAGUAUAAUUACAAAACAAUAACAUUUCCAUGUAUGCUAUUUGAUACAUAUGAGUUAUUUAGAAUUAAUAAACAAGUUGAAGAGUAUGAUGUAUACUGAAUUUAUGUAACAUUAUCGGAUAUCUAGAUUUUCUUAAAAUAUUUAAGAAAACCGUGCAGACCCCAUAUUAAAUCCCAUAGUUAAACACAAAUUCCAGUAUAAUUAUUAAAUUAUUAUCGAUUUUCUCCGUAGCAUCGGUUACAAACCGUGCAAGGCGGUGGAAGACUUUUGGUUUGCUUUCACUCGUCGGAGCCUUUCUUUUCCACUUCUCUUUCGAGAGGAUUUUGUCAGCUUUUCUUUUUUCCAGCUAAAAAGCAAGAUGAUGAAAGACUUUUUGACUUACUUUCUCUCGUCGUUGAGUGGUCCUCGAUGAUGGGGACACCCUCAUUUCAUGUGCCCUUCCUUCACGUUCUCCUUUUCUGGGCCCCGCUGGUUGUGUGACAAUGUUUGACUUGGAAGCAGGCAUUCGGAUCGAACGGCUGAGGAUGAUUCCAUCUGGAGCAGGAUGGAUUAGAGUGGGCCAUCGGGCGAUUAAGGCCGGGAUCGAGGCAUGCUUAGAUGCAACUCUCACAUUUCGCGAUUUAUUACCACUAAUCCAUGACAAUGGCACUUUCGUAAUAGUAUUGUUAAACGUGACUUUCUUCUCUUCUGCACUGCUUUUUCUCUCUCUCUCUUUCUCACUCUGCGCGGAGCUCUCAUUCUUUGAAUUCUCACGCAUUCACGCACUCCCUUGGCCUUUUCAACUCUCUCGCUCUUCGCUCUGCUGGAAAACAUGGCGUUUUCCGGCGAACGCCGACCUCUCGACUGCUCUCUCCCUCCCGAGCUCACCUGCGAGACUCCCUGCCCCACCCUCAAGCUCUACUUCCUCAUUGGAAUCCUCAGCCUCUCCGCGCUCUCCAUCGCUCUCCUCAUAUACCUCUGCGUCUUUCUCAGUCGGACCUCAAAGAAGCGCGAAGUGCCAGCAAAAGGGACGAAUUCUCGGGAAUCAGUUGGACCUUCCUACGAGGUUUUUCUAAGUUUUCAUGGACGAGACACCCGUCAUGGAUUUACCGAUUUUCUUUACCAUGGCAUGGUUGAGGCCGGGAUCCUCGUCUUUAGGGAUAAUGAAUCCCUCCAUGUCGGUCAAAGAAUUGGCGAUGAACUUCUACAAGCCAUCCGAAACUCCAAGAUCUACAUUCCCAUAUUCUCCAAGAAUUAUGCGUCGAGCCACUGGUGCCUUCGAGAGCUUACACACAUGGUUGAGUGUGCCUCCAAGUCGAAUGGGAAUAAAGAGAUUUUGCCCAUUUUCUUGGAUGUGGAGCCUGAUGAUGUCAAGCUGAAAACAAACUUAUACAGCAAAGCCCUUUCAAAGCAUCAGAAAAAGUUUUGCACUGAAGUUGAAUCAUGGAAAAAGGCUCUUGUUAAUUUGGACAAGAUAAAGGGAUGGAACUUGAAAACAGAUGAAAGGUAAAUGUCUAAAACUUUUCAACUUGUCAUCCAUAGAUUUCCUUUUCUUCCCAAGUUAGUUUAAUUAUGGUAUCAUUGGUGAAAAUAUAGUUUAUUCAUCUCACCAAUCCUAUCUUGUGUAACUUGUGGUCGUGGCCGUUGUCACUGCUGCUAUCGGCCUCAGUGGCCGAUAUCGGCUCUAUCGUGGGCUUUGAUGGUUCUAUUGCGGUGGUAGUUGACCCUAUUCAUCCUAGUUUUGUUUCUCCUCACACACUUGGUCUCCAAUACAAUAGCCACGAACAGUAAUAAAAAUCUGAGUAGUUCCACCAAGCCACCGACCAGCCAUUGCAGCAGCUCGACGGUCAUUCGCCGUCACUUCUUCGUCGCCGGCUGGCACCAAGCUGCCAGAAGCCGCCGUUGAGCCAUGCGGCCCCCACCAUUUCUCCCUUUGACUCACUGUGAUGAGUCGGAUUUGUGCUCAGGAGGCCAUUUCCGACAUCACAAAGCCCAUAUCCGGAGUCGCCGACCUUCGGUAACCCCAAAUCUGGUGUUGCCCAAGGCCGGUGACACCAUCCUUGGCGGUCGCAAGGCCACGACCCACAUGAUGAGGAUUGAGGCAAGGCCUAGACGGGCAGGUCAAUAGGGCUCGAUGGGCAACGGCGCUGGAACGUGACAGGGAUGGCCCGGGGAGGUGAGUGAUGUCAACGACGGCGAGGUAGUGGCAGGGGCCAAUGGUGUGGUGACUGAAAUUUGGGGAGCGGAGAUAGAAUGGGAAAAAUCCAGAUUGUUCUGGUGCCUAAAUUAUUUUGCGCUUUUUCUUCAAAUCGUAAAUAUAAAAUUUAUUCUAACACGGUUGUUACAUUUUGGCAGCCAAGUAAAUCUGAAGCGAUCAAUAAUUCAAACAGUGUUGACUAAGUUGAACAUCGGAUUUAAAAAAAAUGUGACCGAAGAUCUAGUUGGAGUUGAUGAUCAUGUAGAAGCUAUAAUCAAAAUGUUGCAUGUGGAAUCCAAUAAUGUACAAUUCCUCGGAAUCCAUGGAAUGGGUGGGAUUGGCAAAACUACACUUGCCAAGGUCAUCUUUAACCGACUAUCUUCUAGUUUUUAUGAAUGCAAUUUCCUUUCAGACAUUGGAGAAUCAUCACGACGCCAUGGUAUGGUAGAUUUGCAAAAACAGUUGCUAUCCAAGUACAUUGAUUUUGAAGUGGUUCUCAAGCGAAUUCAUGAUGUGGAUGAUGGGAUCAACAUGAUUAAGAGAGUACUUUGCAAUAAAAAAGUUCUCAUUGUUCUUGAUGACGUGGAUGAGAAAAAACAACUUAAAAAUUUAGCAGGAAAAGAUAAUUGGUUCGGUUUCGGUAGUAGGAUUAUCAUAACUACUAGGGACCAAAGUGUCCUAACCACACUUGGAGAAGCAACAGAUGAAGGCUUUGCAAAUAUUUCGGCUUACGAAGUAGGUGAAAUGGAAUUUGAUCAUGCUCUUAAGCUUUUCAGUAGGCAUGCCUUUAGAAGAGACUCUCCAUUAGAUCAGUAUAUUUCCCUUUCCGAAAAAAUUGUCCAUACUUUGGGAAAACUUCCUUUAGCUCUUGAAGUUAUAGGUUCAUUCCUUUCCGAUAAAUCUAAAGCAUUAUGGGAAGACACAUUGAAUAAGCUAAAAGAGGCUCCUCCUAAGGAAGUCCAAAAGAAGUUGAUGAUAACUUAUGAAAGGUUAGAUGAUGUACAAAAGCAAGUAUUUUUGGAUAUAGCUUGCUUUUUUAUUGGUUGUUGUAAAGAAUACCCUUCUUACAUGUGGGAUGCUUGUGGAUAUUACCCGCACAAUGCCCUUGAAGUCCUCGUUCUCAUGUCCUUGAUAAAAAUCAAGGAUGACAAUACUUUUUGGAUGCAUGACCAAGUGCGGGAUCUCGGAAGGGACAUUGUUAGAAAAGAAAAUUUUGAUGAUCCCUGCAAGCGCAGCAGAGUGUGGAGUUCUAAGCAUGUGCUAAGCAUUUUGAAGCAGAAAGAGGUAUGAGAAUGGAACAAUAAUUUAUUUUCUUGUGAUUUUAUUCUUGUAAAAAGAAAAAAUAAAUCAAUAUUAACACUUGAAAUUGUUUGCUUUUGACCUUCACAUGUGGACUUCGUGUUGCCAUUGUCAGGGGAGAAGGGAAAUUAAAGCGAUGUCGUUUGCAUAUUCUGAAGAUUCUAAAAAUGGUGAUUUAUUCGAGGCUGAUGAAUUUGCCAAUCUAGAAAAGCUAAGGUUCUUUCAAGGACAUCAGAUAUCCUUUGUUGGAGACUUCAAUAAUCUUCUUUCCAACUUAAAAUGGCUUUGUUGCUAUGGCCACUCAGUCAUGUUUGAGGCAAAAAACUUUCAUCCAACUAAUUUAGUCGUUUUUAACCUUUCAAUGAGCAACAUUUCGGAAAAAGAUAUUGAUUGGAUCAAAGUACGAUACGAACCCCACUCCUUGUAUUCGUAAAUCGUUUCUUUUCAUUUUUUUUUGUAGGUGGUUCCUCAAUAAAUAUUUUAUCAAAUUGUUUUGCAGGCGGUAAGGAAAUUGAAAGUCCUAGAUGUCAACUCCUGCAAUUACUUAAGGAGAACACCUGAUUUAUCCACAUUGGCGUCUUUGGAGAUCCUAAGAAUAACAUAUUGUGAAAUUUUGGAAAGUAUCGAUUGGAUUGAGGUACGAUACGAGUCUCACUCCUUGUAUUCAUAAAUGAUUUAUUUUUAUAUUUUUUUGUAGGUCAUUUCUCAAUAAAUAUUAUUGUUUUGCAGGGGCCAAGGGAAAUAAAAGUCUUAGAUCUCAGCGGCUGCCAAUACUUAAGGAGAGUGCCUGAUUUAUCUAUGUUGGUGUCUUUGGAGAUUUUGAGAUUACAUUAUUGUUCAAAGAUAAAGAAACUUCCAGACUCGAUUGGGAAAUUACAAUCAUUAAUCAAGUUGGAUUUGUUAUAAACGAAUAUUGAUCACCUACCGGAUUCAUUCAGCAAUCUAAAGCAACUGACAACACUUAGGAUGAUGGACAUUAAGGGAGGGUUGACAAAAUUACCUAGUGCGAUCUGGUUUGUUCAGUUUGUGGCUUAUUCUUUUUCGUCCCACGAUAAUGAGCUGUACUGUUUGAAAAUGCCAGACUUGUCAUGGACCCAAAUAUUUGGAUUACCCACCGUGGCGAGUCUCGUCUCUAAUAUCCGUGAACUUCGGAUGGACGCGUGGUAUAGCAGACGGCCCAACUUUUACACCCUUGAACUUGAUAAGCCGGAGAAUGUCAAUUUUUAUCGCGAGUCCCUCGAGCGUAGCAAAUCUCAGAGGGAAAAACAAAUAUUGGCCUCCCCAAACAUGCGGUUCCUCCUUCAGCUCCCGUCUAGUUUAAGAGACUCAGUAUUUCGAGAAGUGCGGAAUCUGGGUUUCUGUCGUUAUUGGAUGCCGAUAUUCGUUGGUAUAUGUGAUUCGGAGUUGGAGAAACUCCUUCUGCAGGAUUCCACGCUUUCAAGACGGAUUGAACAGUGUUGGCUGAGAAACAGGAAAUUCCCGUCCAGAUACCGUCGGAGGAUUCGUCGACAGCGGCAUCAGCCCACAAAAGCACUUGAGCCGUCGCAUAUUAAGAAUCUGCAAGAGGUUGAUCUGUUCGAAUGCGAGCUACUAGUCGAGAUUCGCGGCCUCGAAGAAUUGGGAUACCUUUCAUCCCUUGCGGUCGCAUAUUGUAGGUCGAUCGAAAGGAUGCCAGACCUAUCGAAAUCGAGGAAGCUAAGGGAGCUUCGAGUGGGAAAAUGUCCGAAGCUAAGAAGCAUGGAAGGUUUGGAACGCUUGGAAUCUCUAAAGUGUUUGCGGAUUCACGAUUGCAGGUCUUUGGAGAGUCUGGUGGACACCUCGAAUUUGGAUUUAGAAUGUUGCCUGAUUGUCCGUUGCAAGCGGUUGCCCGACUGUCGCAAUUAUUGUAAACGUGGCCGGGAUUGCUAUUGUGAGAUGCUUUUCGAGGGGUUAUGGAAAUCUGACCCGAUGGAAGUCCAGCAAGUAUUACAGGGACACCCGGAUGUUGCGCCAGUAAGGAAUUUAGAACGUGGCUUGGUUGUUGUGCUUGGUGUAGCCAUUUUGUUUGUUUUGUUGUUGUUUUGUUUUUUUGUUCUAUGAAAAAGGCUUUCUCCCGGACAAAUAUUGGUGAUGAAGCUAUGGAAGUGAACGAGGCACGCUCAUAUGAUGCCAAAACAUUGUCCAAUUUUGAUCAGCUCUUGAACAUAGUACUCAGUUCAUUGAUUGCUGUCCAUGAUUUCCAUUCUAUUCCUCCUUUUGUCUUUGUUAUAGAUGAGUUUCAACUCAAACGAGUGUGGUCGAACCCUGUUUUUCUCUCGCUUGUUUUGUUUGAAACGGAGAAACUGAACACAGAACGUGAAAAUCUCGCAGCGAGAGAUGGGGGAAGGGCUAGAGAGAUAGAGAGAGAGGGAGAGAGAGGGUGGUUGGAGUUUCUCUCGGCUUCUUACAAGAGAGAGAGAGAGAGAGGAGGGGGGGAUUUGUCUGCGUUGCGUGGUGACUGUCUGAUAAGAGGGGGGGCGUCGAGUUGUUCGAGGUCAGCGAGGCUGUGGCGGUCGAGUCGCAGACGGUCAAGCACAUAUACUAACACUUUUUAUUCACAAUUGUGGCUUUAUGUUUUAUCCCAUAUGCUGUAGGAGGGUUGGCUUUUAGGAAUUAAGCUUAAAAAGGAGUGCCCUGAGCCCACAUUCUCUUUACUUAUGACUCCCUAUUCUUUCUUGUUACUAACCCUGAUUGAACUGCAGAUGUUCGAAAAAGAUUCUUGACUGUAUUGCACUGCUCGAUCCCCAGGAUUAUCUUGCAAAAUUCCAGUAUAUGAUUCAGUCCUGACACGGGUGCAGAGUUCAUAACAGAGGUACGCACCGUCCAGGGAAUGAAUGGUAUUCAGAACUCUGGUAACUAUAUGGGUCUACCUAUUCUAUGGGGGUAGAUCCAAACAAGAAGCUCUUGGCUUUUUUAAGGAUAGAGUCUUGACAAGGAUGCCUAGCUGAAAAUCUAAAUUGUUGUCACAAGCUGGUAGAGAGUAUAGGUAAAAACAGUGGCUUAUGCUGUACAAACUUACUCCAUGUCUUGUUUCAAGUUUCCAAAGAAGUGGCAUGAAGAAGUGGAUGCAGCUAUAGCCAAUUUUUGGUUGGGAAAGCUUAACCGAAGCAAAGUUAGAAUGAGUCUUUAGUUUAUCACAGUUUGACAGAACCCUCCUUGCUAAGCUUGCUUGAAGAGUCCAAAGCAACCCCUCAGAAUUCUGGGUGCAAAUAUUUCAAGCGCUCUACCCUUUGUAGCUUUGUGGAAGUUAGAAGAGGUGGCAGAAUGUCUUGGGGAUGGAGUAGAGUUUUGGAAGGAGAGAUCUAAUUAAGGAAGGCAUGUUAUAAAAAAUUGCUAAUGGGAAAUCAGUCAAAGUUGGGGAGGAUAGGUUGGUGAAGGAGAGUUGAGACUUGAUGCUGCAUCCUUCAAUCUGACUCAGGGGAUAAAGGAAUUAAGAAUGGAGUCUCUAAUUGAUUCAGAUACUAAGACUUGGAACUUAAACCCCAUUAAAGACAGCAUGUGGUAGGAGGAGCAGUGAUUGGUGUUGAGAAAUCACAUAAGGUUGAGAAGUUCAGAUGACCAAAUGAUUUGGCCCUGGAACAGGAUUGGUUGUUCUUCAGUAAAGUCUCUACCACUUUACCAUGCAGAAAAGAAAGAAACAUCUACUAAAGCCUAGAUCCUCAAGCUCUCAUACUAUUGAUGGUAUAAAUUGGAAGUUAGCACAGGGAGUUGACUCUCCUCAAGACAAGACACUUCCUCUAGCAACUUUGCUUGAAUGUUGUGCCUGCUGCUGCUACAUGUGCAAAAGAAAAAAAUAUAGUUUCUCCUGGCGACGGUGCCCUUAAGAGUUUGUGCCAACAAACUUUCAUCUGACUAAUUUAGUCGUUCUUGACCUUUCAGAUAGCGAUGUUUCAGAGAAAUGGAUUGGCUGGAAUCAAAUCAUAAUAUAGUACGAAUCUUACUCCUUACAUACAUGUAUCAUUACUUGUCGUUUUUUUUUUUCCUGCAAAUAAUUUCUUAGUAUAUAUUUUGUUUUGCAGGUGGCAAGUAAACUAGAAGUACUAGAUCUCAACAAUUGCGAAUACUUAAUGAGAACACCUUAUUUAUCUAUGUCAGCGUCCUUGGAGAGAUUGAAUCUUGAAGGUUUUCACAACUUAAUUGAAAUUGACCCAUCCAUUGGUAAAUUAAAGCUCCUAACUGCUUUGAACCUGAAGGGAUGUGACUCUUUUGAAGAGUUACCUGAAGAGAUAGGAUAUCUACAAGCUUUAACAGAGAUUGUCAUGCCUAAUACACUACAUGAACUUUCGAAGAGAUUUGGUAAUUUGUGGUCACUGUUGACCUUUGAUGUAUCGCAUAAGCAGAUUAGCAAACUGCCAUACUCGAUCGGAGAGCUAGUGAAACUUAGGCGGUUGGAUUUAUCAGGGUGUACAAAGAUAGAGGAACUUCCAGACUCAAGUUUGGAAAGUACAAUCCUUAGUUGAGUUGGAUUUGUCAUUGAUAAUAUUUGUGGACCUUAAAAAGACUUAAAGAUUGACAAGUUUCUUCUGUUAUGUGCAUUGAACAAGAAGCACCACCCUCCAUUUUUUAGUGAUGAAGAAUGGCGUUUCGAUAAAAUAGCCAAAGACGGCACUCUACGCAAGCACAUGACUUGAGAGGAAUCGCCACUGUUGCAGAAAAAAGAAUAAGGGAAGCACAGGCAGUUUGCGACUGCAUUUUGUUACCAAAUUACUGGCAACCAUCUUCACUAGCAGUCAGAUAAGCACCGGGGAUGGUGCUCCUCUGAGGAUCGAACUAGUAGAUGGCAGGACCAAUGAGAGGGUUAUGAGUGGCCCUCUAUCUUCCGUAAAGCUCAAAAUUGUCAUCCUUGAUGGCGAUUUUGGGUCAGACGAGGGAGAGGAUUGGACCGAGAAGGAAUUCAAUUACAAUAUCAUUUGUGAAAGGGAAGGGAGAAGGCCAUUGAUAACCGGGGAGGUGACUGUGAUCUUGCAAGGGGGAAUUGGUUGCCUUCGUAAUUUAAUCAUCACUGACAGCUCGAGCUGGAUGAGAAGUCGAGAAAUGAGCUCGAGCUGUUCAAAAGGUUUCUGCAGAAAUAAGAAUAAGUGAGGUGAGAAGUGAAACUUUCAUUGUUAAAUAUCAUCGAGGAGAGUAUAAGUUUGCAAUGCCUAUCAUUUUACAAUAACAAUUUAAUUCCAAUCAUCAACUCUGUAUGUGGACCAUAGAAAGAUUGAUUGACAAGUUUUCUCUGUUAUGCGCAGUGAACAAGAAGCACUAUCCACAAUCACUGAGCGACGAAGUAUGGCAUUUGCAGAAAAUAGCCAAAGACAGCACUCUGCACAAGUGCAUGACUUCGAGAGGAAUCAACACUGUUUCCUCCAGCUGUACGAAGUGGAUGCGUCUUUCUAAGAAACAAAGUGACUCUUACUCUUCGAGCACUACUAAUUUCCCUUUUUUCCAGUUCACGUUAUUCUAAGCAUUGUUCAAUAUCAAAUCGUGCUACUUCUUUUGUGUGCGAUGUUAUUUCAGGUACUUGGAAAUGGGAUCACCAAGCGGACAUGGGAUAUGAUCGUCAGACACGCCAGCCCCUGUGUGGUCAACGAUGACAACAUGUAUUUCUACCAAGCUUUGAACAAGGCCAGUAUAGUGUUCAAUUCAGUCAUGAAAGUUGCUCAAGCAGCACUCGAUGGCCAAAUUUACCAGUCGGUAGACAUAUUGGCCCACUCUCAGAAGGUACAUGAAUCAUAACCCGAAACAUCUCUAUCUAGUAGCUGAGUGUGAAUCUAUCUGGACCUAUAGAAAGGGCCUGUAUUUAUCGGAUUAGUCUGCUUCCAUGGCAGAAUAUAUACCGCAAGCACUUCUCUUAAAAAAGUACCUGUUUGAUUUUGGACUUGAUUGAACCUGCUGCUCGGUUGACAGAUUUUGUUGCAGAACUUGAAAUGGCUAGCUUACAAUAACAACAAUCAAUGGUGGCGCUCGAUGCCCUGCCCAGCGUCUCUCUUCUGAGAGCCCCAACUAAUUUGCCUACAGAGCCGUCAAUUGGCCUGAGCCUGCCUCUUCAUCAUCUAUUUUACACAGAGCUAAACCAAGGUAUUGUGGUAUUACAUCACUUCCAUCUAUCUUUUCCUUUUUGGCCUCCUUAAUCUUUCACAGUUCAGUGUUCCCAUUUCUUUAUUGGCACAUCCACCUUUUUGCACGUCUAUGGUAGCUGAAACUGAAAUGCAUCAUUAUUCAGAUAGACCAGAAGUGACUCCUGAAUUUAGUUACUCACUGGUUUCAGCAUCGUGCUGCUACAAUGUCACAGAGAUCAGGCAAUUAGGUUGUCUGGGGCCACAGUCAUAUCACUGCAAAAAUCUUUGAUCCGACUGUAAUUCAACGGCUUGGCAAGGGAGGACUUUUUGUCCAGUUUGAGUGCUGGCGAAAGCAGUCAUCUUCCCGGUUACACACGAUCGUUUGCGCCGAACAUCCAUUUGUCUCCUGACGAGCUUUUCCAAGUGCCAUCUUCAAUCCCUGGCAAUUUAAUGUGGCACCGGAGCAUACUUCCAUCAUUGAGUCGAGCAGCAGGGCAGAUUUUGGGAUCUGCCCAUCUCGCACGGGUUAUCGAGUCCAUAAUUCUAGGAUUGCAAGACCCAAGGUGGCAUGGUACAAGAUCUGUGAUGUGAUGAAGUGGGGAUUGGUUUGGCGCGUUGUGGCUGCAAAGAGAAGAGCAAUGUUCAAUUGUGCAAGUUAUCCAGCUGUAUAAAUGGAGAGUCCCAUCCCCCAAAAGAGUUUUCGGUGCUUCAGGAGCGCGAAGCUCUCGCCCACACAAGCCAGUCAUCACAUGCGAAGUAUAAAAAAGAAGGAAAUUCAUGAUACUUGAUGCGAGGAGAAUGUCUUGGGGGUAUGAGAAUGUCUAGUUCUAGGGGUAAGCUGCCCAGGAUGCAUCAGCAACUUAUAUUAUGCAUGAUCACUGCGAUUUUCUCUAUUGUUUUUUUGUUGAUUGUCCUUUCAUAUUUGAAUGAAGUUGUGCACCAUCAAGAUGGGGCUGCCGAUUGGACAUGUCUUCUCCCUAUGGGUCACGCAAGCUGAUCUUAGGAAGUACCUCAAUACAGGGGUUCUUCCUCAAGAAUUGUAAGGCUUUUGCUCUCUUCUUCAAGAAUUGUUUGGCAUUCUGUUUGUCCCAAAUACAUCAUCCCUUGAUUUGUCAGUUUACUGUUCUGAUAUGCUUAGUAGACUUUUCUUUGCUUUACAAAAUUUGUGAGUAUAUUACUUAGUUUGCGAGAUCCAAAGUUUCUCCUGUCAGCUUUGCUCUUUUUGAUCUGAAAUAUUAUAUGGUAACCAUUAGUCACAAAGCCCACAAUCUUGACGGUAUAUAGAAAAGGUUCUUCUAUCGCCAAUGUGGGACCUUGUUUUCCAUGUAACAUUCCACCGAGUUCCUGUAGGCUUGGAUCUAAGACCGCUUCGAGACUAUUCCAGAGAAUAUUUCUGGGCGAGAAAAGAGAUGAAUUUUUCUCUUUCUAAAUUGUGCAGUUUUGCUUUCAUCUGCGAAAAAUUGAAAUGGAAACAAUUCAUCUUCAUCAUUGAAAAUAUGCAAGACGUGCAAAGUUUCCCAUUUGAUCAAUGAAAAGUGCUUAUUUGAUUGUGAUAGUGAGUUCUAACAGAAGAAAUAGGAAGAGAACCAGAAAGGUAUCCUUGGGCAAAAAGUAAGAUCCGAAUAUGAACUCGUAUAGAAAAGAGCAUAUCGGCAAUCUAGGACGUUACACAUGAUGUACCACAUACCUAAAAAUGUCGAUGGUGUUAAGCAUGUUUUAGUUCCUAAAUCUGUCAUAGAUAACAGCACUGAAAAAUGGAAUUCUUCUCUUGUAGGGCAAGGUCUUGGCAAGAAAGAGUAUUGGAUUUAUUUCUGCUACGGUGAAUAUGCUGUGGGGACAAGAGGAGAUUGAGAACGGAAUGUUCCUUAUGAACUUUUCCUCUUCCAGAACAUUGCGCACUAUCUUCUUGUGCUAAGAAAAUGGAAGCUUGAACUGCAAAGUUAGGAGGUCUCUGAUGUGAAAACUGUUGUCUAGGCUAAGCUACAGAGCGUUCCUCUGUAUCUUCUGACAUUGAAGGGAGG